rnacentral:rRNA from 1 species
CCUACGCGUGGCAGCAGUGGGGAAUAUUGCACAAUGGGGGAAACCCUGAUGCAGCGACGCCGCGUGAGUGAGGAAGUAUUUCGGUAUGUAAAGCUCUAUCAGCAGGGAAGAAAAUGACGGUACCUUACUAAGAAGCCACGGCUAACUACGUGCCAGCAGCCGCGGUAAUACGUAGGGGGCAAGCUUUUACCGGAUUUACUGGGUGUAAAGGGAGGGUAGACGGCUAAUCAAGUCAGAAGUGAAAACCCAGGGCUAAACCUUGGGAGUGCUUUUGAAACUGAGUAGCUAGAGUGCAGGAGAGGUAAGCGGAAUUCGUGGUGUAGCGGUGAAAGGCGUAGAUAUUAGGAGGAACACCAGUGGCGAAGGCGGCUUACUGGACUGUAACUGACGUUGAGGCUCGAAAGCGUGGGGAGCAAACAGGAUUAGAUACCCGGGUAGUC